rnacentral:tRNA from 1 species
AAGAUUGUAAGUUAUUUAGACUAAAAACCUUCAAAGUUUUAAGUGAGGUUGCCUCCAAUUUUA